ACGGAGGGUGCAAGCGUUAAUCGGAAUCACUGGGCGUAAAGCGCACGCAGGCGGUUUGUUAAGUCAGAUGUGAAAGCCCCGGGCUCAACCUGGGAACUGCAUUUGAAACUGGCAGACUAGAGUAUGAGAGAGAGAAGUGGAAUUCCACAUGUAGCGGUGAAAUGCGUAGAGAUGUGGAGGAACAUCAGUGGCGAAGGCGACUUCUUGGCUCAAUACUGACGCUCAGGUGCGAAAGCGUGGGGAGCAAACAGG
rnacentral:rRNA from 1 species